rfam:Pristionchus pacificus strain PS312 contig7658, whole genome shotgun sequence.
GCCCAUGUAGUAUAGUGGUUAGUACUCCACGUUGUGGCCGUGGCGACGCUGGUUCGAUUCCAGCCAUGGGCA